GUGAAUUAAACAUGCUUGGUGUCUUCGCUUCGGCAAGGCCCUUGCUUAAAUCACAUCCUAACACCUGUGAACUGUAAGACGUAUGAUGAGGUCUUUGGCCAAGUCAUCGUCUGCCCAUUUUUAACAAACAAUUAAUGUAACAAACGCUAGUCUUAUUAUAACCUAAUA
rnacentral:misc_RNA from 1 species